AGGACUGGAUGUCGGGCUGCAUGUGAAUGUUUGUGGGUGCAGCAAGGCCAUGCAGCUCUGC
rnacentral:precursor_RNA from 1 species